AAUUGGAGGGCAAGUCUGGUGCCAGCAGCCGCGGUAAUUCCAGCUCCAAUAGCGUAUAUUAAAGUUGUUGCAGUUAAAAAGCUCGUAGUUGAAUUUCGGGAUCAAUAUUUCGGUCAUGCCGUUGGUAUGCACUGUUAUCAUUGAUUUCUCACCUUCUAAAGAACCGUAAUGCCAUUAAUUUGGUGUUACGGGGAAUUAGGACUGUUACCUUGAAAAAAUUAGAGUGUUUAAAGCAGGCUCACGCUUGAAUACAUUAGCAUGGAAUAAUGAAAUAGGACAUCCGAUUCCAUUUUGUUGGUUUCUAGGAUCGAUGUAAUGAUUAAUAGGGAUAGUUGGGGGCAUUAGUAUUCAAUUGUCAGAGGUGAAAUUCUUGGAUUUAUUGAAGACUAACUACUGCGAAAGCAUUUGCCAAGGAUGUUUUCAUUAAUCAAGAACGAAAGUUAGGGGAUCGAAGACGAUCAGAUACCGUCGUAGUCUUAACCAUAAACUAUGCCGACUAGGGAUCGGAUGAUGUUAAUUUUUUAAUGACUCAUUCGGCGCCUUACGGGAAACCAAAGUGU
rnacentral:rRNA from 1 species